rnacentral:rRNA from 1 species
GUGAGGAAUAUUGGUCAAUGGGCGAGAGCCUGAACCAGCCAAAUCGCGUGAAGGAUGAAGGUAUUAUGUAUUGUAAACUUCUUUUAUCGGGGAAUAAAGUGCGGGACGUGUCCCGUUUUGUAUGUACCCGAAGAAUAAGGAUCGGCUAACUCCGUGCCAGCAGCCGCGGUAAUACGGAGGAUCCAAGCGUUAUCCGGAUUUAUUGGGUUUAAAGGGUGCGUAGGCGGACUGUCAAGUCAGCGGUGAAAGUCCAUGGCUAAACCAUGGAAUUGCCGUUGAAACUGUCGGUCUUGAGUGUAGAUGAGGUAGGCGGAAUUCGUAGUGUAGCGGUGAAAUGCUUAGAUAUUACGAAGAACUCCAAUUGCGUAGGCAGCUUACCAGGCUACAACUGACGCUGAGGCACGAAGGUGCGGGGAUCAAACAGGAUUAGAUACCCGUGUAGUCC